AAAGCAGAAUGCCAAAACACAGUUCCGGUUGGUAGUCCGGACGCAUGCGGAUACAAAGUAUCCCUUGUCAGUAACCUUCCCCCCUUGGGAUGUCCCGCAUUCUGAUUGGAGCA
rnacentral:ncRNA from 1 species